GGACAACUGUGGUGUGCCACAACUGCCAGCUAUGAGUGGGACAGGAAGUGGAAGGCAUGUGCUUUGCAAGAGCAUGAAGGGAACUCAAAAGGUGGGAUUUGUGUCUUCCCUUUUAUCUACAAGAACCAGUCAUUCUAUACCUGCACCAAUGAAGAUACCAAGGAUGGGAGAUUUUGGUGUGCCACCACUCCAUAUUAUGACAAGGACAAAUUGUGGAGCUACUGUGCAGACACAAUACUAGAUGCUCAUCCCACCGGACCAUGUGUCUUCCCUUUUAUCUACAAUGGAAAGUCAUAUCGGCAUUGCACAAGAUAUGGGGAUGCCAGCGGGGAACUCUGGUGCUCCUUCACCAGCAAUUACAAUGUCGAUCCCAAAUGGACCUACUGUAAACCUACAGGUCGAAUUCCCCUUCCUCCAAGGUAUGGCUCUUAGAACAGAACAGCGACUCGUAAGAAAACUCCUCAGCCUGCAAGCAAAUUUAUACUUCAAAGAAAACUCAGACCAGCUUUUCUC